AAAUUUAAUCGGCAAAACUGUCAAAAGGCAGUGACGCAAAGCUCUUGAGUCUACGGAUAUACUUUUACUUCUAUGAUAGUCAGGCUGCAGAA
rnacentral:ncRNA from 1 species